GUGUUCACUUCGGCAGCACAUAUACUAAAAUUGGAACGAUACAGAGAUUAGCAUGGCCCCUGCGCAAGCAUAAUACUUUAUGAGUUCUGUUGUACUAAAAGUUC